rnacentral:rRNA from 1 species
CUUCGGGGGAAAGAUUUAUCGGAGUUGGAUGAGCCCGCGUUGGAUUAGCUAGUUGGUGGGGUAAAGGCCUACCAAGGCGACGAUCCAUAGCUGGUCUGAGAGGAUGAUCAGCCACAUUGGGACUGAGACACGGCCCAAACUCCUACGGGAGGCAGCAGUGGGGAAUAUUGGACAAUGGGCGAAAGCCUGAUCCAGCCAUGCCGCGUGAGUGAUGAAGGCCCUAGGGUUGUAAAGCUCUUUCACCGGGGAAGAUAAUGACGGUACCCGGAGAAAAAGCCCCGGCUAACUUCGUGCCAGCAC